rnacentral:rRNA from 1 species
AGCAGCCGCGGUAAUUCCAGCUCCAAUAGCGUAUAUUAAAGUUGUUGCAGUUAAAAAGCUCGUAGUUGAAUUUCGGGGUCAGCAGGUUGGUCGUGCCACUGGUAUGUACUGGCUUUGCUGAUUCCUCCUUCUUGUAGAACCGUAAUGCCAUUAAUUUGGUGUUGCGGGGAAAACAGGACUGUUACUUUGAAAAAAUUAGAGUGUUUAAAGCAGGCUAACGCUUGAAUACAUUAGCAUGGAAUAAUGAAAUAGGACGAGCGAUCCUAUUUUGUUGGUUUCUAGGAUUGACGUAAUGAUUAAUAGGGAUAGUUGGGGGCAUUAGUAUUCAAUUGUCAGAGGUGAAAUUCUUGGAUUUAUUGAAGACUAACUACUGCGAAAGCAUUUGCCAAGGAUGUUUUCAUUAAUCAAGAACGAAAGUUAGGGGAUCGAAGACGAUCAGAUACCGUCGUAGUCUUAACCAUAAACUAUGCCGACUAGGGAUCGGAUGAUGUUAAUUUAUAAUGACUCAUUCGGCGCCUUA